AAAGAGAAAAAGAGAAGAAGAAAAGAAGAAAGAAAAGGAAGAAGAAGGAAGAAGAAGAAAAAAUGAUGGCAAUACCAACAUGGACCUUAAAGUCCUUCCUUAAUUACUUCAGGUAAGUAAAAGAUGUACUUAUGGGAAAUAAUUCUUGAAUUUAAGGUUUGUAAACAAUUACUCAUGUUAAAGUUGUAUUUGAGGUUAUAACUAAAUUAUGGCAAAGAAAUAUGUAAUUGUAAAUUAGUGUUGAAGAAAGUGGAAUUUGAGAUGGGUUUUUGAAAGAAAUACAUAUUUUUGAAAUUCUUGGGACUAUAUGAUGUUAAACACUUAAAUUAAGGACUUGAGGUUGAAAUUUUCCAUUUUUCCUAAAGAAAUUUUCAGGUUAUGUAAUGAAGGUGCUACUUUCUAAAUUUUCCCAGAAAAGUGUUAUUCUGUCCAUAUUUUGGUGAGUUUUCUAUAUAUAGAAUUUGGUGUCAUAAUUCAAUAUUUUGGAACUUUAGUGCCGUUUUUGUCAAAUAUUUGAUUUUCAGAUUUUAAAGGUUCGAAUGAAGUUAUAUGUGAAAUGCUGAAGCCUAUGUAUUGGACUAAAUUAUAUAUAGGGGUUGCAUAUAUACAAACUAAGUUAUACCAUUUUUUAUAAACCCGAGAAUUUUAAUUAGAUACUUGAGUAAAGAUAGUUUGGGAAAAUGAUAAUUAUCACGAAAUAUUCACUUGGAAGAAUGGUUUUAUGGAACAAAUGUAAAUUUAAUUGGUUGAAUUAUGGUUAUUAGCUUUGCUAGAUUGGAAGAUGGGAUAAUUAUUUUCAUGAUUAGAAUAAAGGUUAUGUGAUGAAUUGGCUAUUAGAUAAUGGACUAGAAAGUGGAAUUAGCUUGAAGUGAUUAAAGGAAAUUGGGGAAAGUUAUUCAAGUAUCGAGAAAUCAAGUCUUAGAUUUGAUCAUCAAUAUUUAAAACUACUUAGCAAGAUAGUGGUUAAAUUAGUUAUUUUACAUUGUCUUUCAGGUGGUGGCGAAGAGAUGGGAAAAACUUGUCAACCAUCAUGACCAUUAGCUUGUUUAGAGUGAGUGGAUAUCGCAUUUAUUUAAAUUAUAUUAGUUCUCAAACUUAUACGAAAUAAUUGUUCAUUAGAUUUCUUAUAGUAAAUCAUACAAGCUGCAAAAUUUAUUUAUUUCAGAAGAUUGAUUUAGAAAGUGUGAUUUUCAGAAUUAAGUUAUGAUUUUUUUUUAAGCAAUGCUUCUAAAAGAGAAAUUCAGUUCAGUUAAAUUAUUUCAUUAGCAUGUUAUAUGAGUAUUAAAUGUCUCAUCAUAUUUAAAGUUAUUUUUAAAACUACCAGAAAGUACCCAAAUGAUUUUACCCUAGUCUGCAUUGGUGUGAAUGUGUCUCCAUAGUGUAUGAUCUGUUAUGGUUAUUUUACCCUCUCUGCACUGGUGUGAAUGUGUUUCCACAGUGUAUGACCAGUUAUGAUGAUUUUACUCACUCUGCACUAUUGUGAAUGUGUUUCCAUAUUGUAUAACCAGAUUAUUAGAGGUCUUUGGGACCCACUCUCGUACACACAUUGGCUUUGGGCCGUGUACUAGGGUGAUUAGUCUUUGGGGCAGCUCUGCAUACAUAUGUCUAGGUUAUCGGAUUGUCAGAUUAUCAGAUUUGAACGGCUUUGUCUUGUACAUCGAGAUUACUCUAUACAUGAGUAAGGCUAUUCAUUAGGUACAUUUUCAGUGUGAUUUUUCAGUAUUUCUACAACUUAUCAGAUUUCAGAUUAUAGAAUUCAGUUUAUUCAAUUCUCAGAAUAAAGCUUUAAGCUUAUUGUAUUGAGUAGCAGUAAUAUUUCAUGGAUUUUCAUUGAUAUCGUAAUAUUUAUAUUCACAAUUACUUAUCUAAAAUGAAGAACAAAGAAUUUUAUGAUCCAAACAUGUUUCAGUUUUAAAAGUGUUACUAGAUUUCAGAAUUUCUCAAAGUUUAAUAGAGUAAGAAUUUUCUAAAAAUAUGCAUAAAAGAAAAAGUAUACUUAUUUACAAAUUAUCCACUCACUAAGCCUUAAUUUCAUGUAUAUAUUUUUUUACCUUUUUCUUUAUCAGACAAAUAGUAGUCAAAUUGAGCAGCUUUGGAACCUGUCAAACCUCUAAAUUGAGCCAUGUGUCAUAGGUUGUAUGAUAUCCUUUAUUGGAUUAUAUAUUAUGAGUUCUUUUGGGAUAUAUGUAGUUUAAAUCAGAAAAGUUCAUUUUGGGCUCAUUAAAUUUCCCAUGAUAUGAGAGAAAAAAAUGUAUUUGGUAUCUUUAGUAUAUUUGAGGAUUAUUUGUUGUAAAACAAGUAAAUAUUGAAUGGCCAGCAUUUUAUUUGAAUAGUUUGUAUUUUGAGGGACUGGCGUACCCUGAUUUAUAUUAUAGGUAUUGAUUUGAGGAAAAUUAGUUAUUGUUCAGGUGGUUUUAGUUCAUAUUUCAGAGGAAACCUUGUCAAAAUUUUAUUAAAAAUAUUUUUUAAUCAGAUAAGUUAAGGUUGCUUUGGUGGUGGGUCCGACACUUAGUUGGUACUACCAUGGGUACACGACACGUGUCGGAUCUAUUAGGGUGAUUCAGGACAAGUUGUGUUAAAUGGUAUCAGAGCGUGGUUCAGUGGUUGUUAAGCUCGAGUAAGUCAUGAAUUUCUUUUUCAGAAUAGCAUGUCAUUAAGAUUGUUAGUCGUGACGUGGUGGCAAAACUCACAAGCUCCAAUGUGGUAUUUGAAACUCAUAUUGCCCGUGAUAACGAGGAUAUGGCAAUUAAGAAAAUAAUAAUGAACUUUAUUGAUUUGAGCAUAAUAAGUAUGAGGAUGUUAUUGAGAAUUAUCCGAUUGUAAUGAGAGUUGCUAGAGUUGUCAUGUUGGCGCCAUGAUAUAUUUUCUCUAAUAAAUCAAUAAUUGCUCUAUAUAUCCAGCAGGCAAUUAAGUAAAGAGUAUAACUUUUCUUAGCAAUGAGAUUUAUUGGUUAUGGGUUUCUUUUAUGACUAUUAGAGGAAAUGUCUUGUAGAUGCCUUGGAUGAUGAGUAUUGUUUUAUGUUGAUAUAUGUAUAGUUGGUGACAUUACGAGUUGAAAUCAUGAUUGCUUUGUAAGGUAAAUGAUUGAGGUACUAUGAGAAUUAUUGUGGGAAAUUGUGAACAGUAUAUGGAGAAAGAUGCAUAUAUUAGAAAAUCAAGAUGUGGAGCUAUGAUAGGGAACUUGUUAAUGAAAAAAAAAUUAAUGAUAAUAAUGAAAAACCAUAUGGAAUGUUGAUUCAUGAUAAAAAUGGUGUUAUUGAAUGUGUUUUACUUUGUGAUUUUGAGUAAAUCAAUGCGACCGUUGCCCAUCUUUUGUUGUUUCAGGGACAAGCAAGUAUCUAGGUUUGUACUUCAACUACUAUUGAAGGAAUGAGGAUUGAAAUUUAUGUUGCUAUGUAUGUAUCUAAUGGGUGACAUGAAUAAGAAAUAGCGUAAAGUUGAAGAACAAGAGAGAAUUGGCAUGAUUAAAUGUUGAGAUCAUACAGUAUCAAGCUAUCCAAUGUAACAAGGUUUUAUGAUUCCGAAGGGCAUUGUGAAUAGUGGUACACUUAUAAUUAGUGGUCCGUCAAAAUAAUAUUGGAAUGAUAUAUUUAGUUUGCUAAGUGAAAUACUCUUCUCAUGACCAUAAGUGGGAUUUUUGUGUUAGAUUAAAAUCAAUUGAGACGAAACGUUAAAUUGUAAUUAUAAGUUGAGUUGUAAUUAUAAGUUGAGUUCUAUGAGUUUUGUGUUGCUAUUAGAUUACUAUCUCUGUAGUUGUGAUUUUGAAUUUCAUGAAUUAAGAAUUUAAUCCUCAUUAAGGUAGUAUGAUAAGGAAUUCAUGGACGAUAGGUUAUGUUAUUGUUGAGACUAGGAUUAAAGAAUGUUUAUUUUAGAUAUGAAGGUAGCUUAGCUUAGGUUAUUCUAGCAUAAAAUUUUUAUAGAUAUUUGAAAAUCAAUAAGGAUUUUGAUUCACAUUGCAUUAUCGAGAUCAUGGCAUUCUAGUGUGGGAAAUAAACUUCGUGGUUGAAAUGAUAUUUAUUAAAUAGGGAAAAACAAAAUCGUGGUGUUAUAUUCUAUUUCCUUAUUCGAGAAAAGAAAGAGAGAGAAUAAGAAACAAAGAAGCUGUCACAUUCAAGUUUCUUACCCUGUUUUUCAGCAUUUGCAGUUAGGUUAUGUGACUGAAAAGUGUUAAAAAGAAUAUAUUAUUAACAUACAGAAUCUUGAUGGUACAUUAAUGUGUGAAAUGUCACUUGAUAGUUAUAAGGAGCACAAUUUUUAUGAUCCUAAGGAAAUAGGUAUAAUCAAAUGUAUCAAGUUAUACAAUGUGACCAUAAAUGACAAGGUUACUUGAUAUGGUGAAUAUCAAGUAAAAGAAUAUUAUGGUUGUCUUAUAGUCAAAUAAUGUGAUGAGAUAUUUGGGUUAUUAAGUUAAUUAAUUUUUUUCAUGGCUAUUGGUUGUAUUAUUAUGUUAUAUUACAUACCAUUUGGAAGCUUUGGGCUAAAUUUUAGUAGUUAAGGUGAAUUUGAUGUACUUUUGGUGAUGUAAUUUUUGGAUUAGUUUCGAUUGUAUUUUUUUUGAGUUCAUGAAUAAAGUAUUCCAUCUUUAUUGAGAACUAUUCGCUAUGUAGUAUAGGGAUGAUAUGGUGGAUACCCUAAAUUAUAUGCUGAUCGUCUAAUGUAAAUUUUACUCGAUCGUAGAAUGGUAUCCUUUGGGUUCAUUAUCUAAAUUAAAGGUCUUUAGGUAAUAUACAAGAAAGCUUAUGCAUUGGCAAUAAGUCAAUGACCUCCUUAUGGAAUAAGAGUAUAGAAUUAUCAUGAAUUAAAUGUGAUUAUUGUAUCUUCAUAGAAAGAAAGAGCACCAAAAUUGUGUGGGUUUAGAAAUGUAAAAGUUUUGCAAUCAAAUUAAAUUAUGAGACAAUAUUUACCCUUGUAUCUAAAGUUGAUGAGUGUUUGAUUUAUGAUAAUAGAUUAUGUUAAGGCUUAGAAAGUAUACUGAAGUAAAUGAUGAAUUAUGGAUUAUACUACAGAUUGUUAAAGAGGCAUAAUUUAGACAUGAUUUAUAGUUGGUUAUAUUGGGGUUGAAUUUAGGAACUGUGGUGUUAUGCCAUUGCGAAAAACAUUGAUACUUAUAUAUCACCGUAGUUUAAGGUAUAUUUCAAUUUGAAAGGGUUGAAAUUGAAAUUGUGUAUAUAUUAUCGUUGGGUGAUAUAGAAUUAAAGGAAAAGAACACCAUAUUGAGCUUUAUCAAUUGUUGUUACAAUUGAAUUUUUGUAGAUAUUGUCAAGCAAGAAUUGGAUUAGUUACCCUCAAAUAUUUUUCAUUUUGGGGUUCCAAGUACACAGGAUCGAGAUAAAAAUGGUAUUGGAAUCAUUAUUGAUAAAGGUUACAAGAUUCUUUUCAAAUGAUAUAGUUAGUUCAUGAUGUAGAUUUAUAAAUUUAUAUAUUGAUAUUGAUAUAGGAAAGGUCAAGGAAAAUCUAAGGACAAGAAAGAAUAAAUUCUGCAUAGUUAAAUUAGUGUGCUAGUUAACUUGUAAGAAGGCAAUCAGUAGAAGAGACAUCACGGGAAUAUGAAGAUCAGGCAUGCUAUGUGCUCUAUAUUUUGGUAUAUUUGAUUCCAAAUUGAUUGAAUUUCGAGGACGAAAUACUUUUAAGGAGGUAAGAUUGUUACACCCCAUUUCAUACUAGUCAAAACUCAAUAUUAUUUAUUCAAAGUCAAAUGUUAGUCAGAACCAAGGUCCGUUAGGGACUUAAAUGAAAUUAAUUAUUUUAGUGGGGUUUAUUUUAUGAUUUAAGAUGUACGAAUGUUUAAGAUGGAUAUCAUUUAAAUUUGGGGAAAUACUUAUUAAUUAUUAGAAGUUAGAUGACUUAAUAAGAUAUCAUGUGAAGUUUGGAGGACUUGAUUGAAAAAGGGUUUAGUUUGUGGAUUACAAGUGGUACCUUGCAAGCCAUUUCUUGCAUUUUUCAUAUUACAUACACACACAUAAAGAAGCUAGAAAUUGGGGCAGAAAUAGAGAGAAAAACCGGCAAAAGAAAGAGAAAAAUAGAAGAAGAAAAGAAGAAAGAAAAGGAAGAAGAAGAAGAAGGAAGAGGAAGAAAAAAUGAUGGCAAUACCUACAUGGUCCUUAAAGUUCUUCCUUAAUUUCUUCAGGUAAGUAAAAGAUGUAUUUAUGGGAAAUAAUUCUUGAAUUUAAGGUUUGUAAACAAUUACUCAUGUUUAAAGUUUGACAAGAAUUAAAGAUUAUGAAUAUUUAUCUGAGGUUAUAACUAAAUUAUGGCAAAGAAAUAUGUAAUUGUCAAUUAGUGUUGAAGAAAUUGGAAUUUGAGAUGGGUUUAUGAAAGAAAUACAUAUUUUUGAAAUCUUGGGACUAUAUGAUGCUAAAACACUUAAAUUAAGGAUUUAAGGUUGAAAUUCUCCAUUUUUCCGAAAGAAAUUUUCGGGUUAUGUAAUGAAGGUGCUAAUUUCGAAAUUUUCCCAAAAAAGUGUUAUGUCUAUCCAUAUUUUGGUGAAGGCUUCUAAAAGUUAAAUUCAUUUCAAUUAAACUAUUUCAUUGGCAUGUUAUAUAAGUAUUAAAUGUCUCAGCAUAUUUAAAGUUUUUUUUUUAAAAUCACCAAAAAGUACUCAAGUGAUUUUACCCUAGUCUGCACUGAUGUGAAUGUAUUUUCAUAGAAUAUAACCAAUUAUGGUUAUUUUACCCGCACUGGUGUUAAUGUGUUUCCAUAGUGUAUGACCAAUUAUGAUGAUUUACUCGCUCUGCACUAUUGUGAAUAUGUAUCUAUAGUGUAUGACCAGAUUGUCAGAGGUCUUUGGGACCCACUCUCGUACACACAUAGGCUUUAGGCCUUGUACUAGGGUGAGCCUUUGGGACAGCUCUGCGUACGUAUGACCAGAUUAUUAGAUUUGAAUAGCUUUGUCUUGUACGUCGAGAUUACUCUAUACAUGAAUAAGGCUAUUCAUUGGAUACAUUUUCAGUGUGAUUUUUUAGUAUUUCUAUAGCUUAUCAAAUUUCAGAUUAUAGAAUUCAGUUUAUUCAAUUCUCAGAAUAUAGCUUUCUGCUUAUUGCAUUGAGUAGCAGCAACAUUUUCGUGGAUUUUCAUUUAUAUCAUAUUAUUUAUCUUCACAGUUACUUAUCUAAAAUGAAGAACAAAGAAUUUUAUGAUCCAAUCAUGUUUCAGUUUUAAAAGUGUUACUAGAUUUCAGAAUUUCUCAAAGUUUAAUAGGGUAAGAAUUUUCAGAAAAUAUGCAUAAAAGAAAAAGUAUACUUAUUUGCAAAUUAUCCACUCAUCGAGCUUUAAGCUCAUAUAUUUUUUUACCUUUUUCUUUAUCAGACAAACAUCAGUCAAAUUGAGUAGCUUUGGAGCUAUCGAACUAAUGAAUUGAGCCACGCAUUAUAGGUUGUAUGAUAUCCUUUAUUGGAUUAUACAUUAUGUGUUCUUUUGGAAUACAUGUAGUUUAAAUCCAAAAAGUUCGUUUUGGGCUCAUUAAAUAUUUGGCAUCUUUAGUAUAUUUGAGGAUUGUUGGUUGUAAAACAAGUAAAUAUUGAAUAGCCAGCAUUUUAUUUGAAUAGUUUGUAUUUUGAGGGACUGAGGUACCUUGAUUUAUAUUAUAGAUAUUGAUUUGAGGAAAAAUGGUUAUUGUUCAGGUGGUUUUAGUUCGUAUUUUAGAUGAAACUUUGUUAAAAUUUUGUUAAAAAUAUUUUUUAAUCAGACAAGUCAGGGUGGCCUUGGUGGUAGGUCCGACAUUUAGUUAGUUACCGUCGACGCACAACACGUGUCGGAUCCAUUAAGGUGAUUCGAGACGGGUCGUGUCAUCAAUGGCUUCUAAGCGUGAGAAAGUUGG
rnacentral:lncRNA from 1 species